rnacentral:rRNA from 1 species
CACCGCGGUUAUACGAGAGGCCCAAGUUGAUAGUUAACGGCGUAAAGAGUGGUUAGAAGGAACCCGAUUACUAAAGCCGAACGCCCUCAGAGCUGUUAUACGCAUCCGAAGGUGAGAAGCCCAUCCACGAAAGUGGCUUUACAACCUUGAAUCCACGAAAGCUAUGAAA